rnacentral:tRNA from 1 species
GCGCGGGUAGUUCAGUGGUUAACUGUAAAGUCCACAGAGAAUCCGGCCUUGCCAAGGCUGGGACCCGAGAAAUAAUUUUUUAGGAAGUUAUUUGGGAUUUCGAAUCUCGGCCCGCGCACCA